rnacentral:rRNA from 1 species
CGGAGGGUGCAAGCGUUAUCCGGAUUUACUGGGUUUAAAGGGUGCGUAGGUGGGUCUGUAAGUCAGUGGUGAAAUCUCCGAGCUUAACUCGGAAACUGCCAUUGAUACUAUAGGUCUUGAAUUAUCUGGAGGUAAGCGGAAUAUGUCAUGUAGCGGUGAAAUGCUUAGAUAUGACAUAGAACACCAAUUGCGAAGGCAGCUUACUACGGAUCGAUUGACACUGAGGCACGAAAGCGUGGGGAUCAAACAGGAUUAGAUACCCUGGUAGUCCACGCCCUAAACGAUGGAUACUCGACAUUUGCGAUAUACUGUAAGUGUCUGAGCGAAAGCAUUAAGUAUCCCACCUGGGAAGUACGAUCGCAAGAUUG